rnacentral:rRNA from 1 species
AGAGUUUGAUCCUGGCUCAGAACGAACGCUGGCGGCAUGCCUAACACAUGCAAGUCGAACGGGAUCCAGGCUUCGGUCUGGUGAGAGUGGCGAACGGGUGAGUAACGCGUGGGAACCUGCCCAGAGGUACGGAAUAACAGUUGGAAACGACUGCUAAUACCGUAUGAGCCCGAGAGGGGAAAGAUUUAUCGCCUUUGGAG